UAUUAAAAUUUUUAUCUAUUUGUACUUUUAAAAAUUGGCGUGCCUCAUAGAUUAACCAAACAAUGGCACGUGGUGUGCCAUGCGUACGUUAUACUAACAUAUAGAGAUCAAAUUUUAACCAUAGAAAUAGAUGAAAUUUUUAAUA
rfam:Gossypium hirsutum cultivar TM-1 unplaced genomic scaffold scaffold1451.1, whole genome shotgun sequence